GAUGAACGCUGACAGAAUGCUUAACACAUGCAAGUCAACUUGAACUUCGGUUUGGGUGGCGGACGGGUGAGUAACGCGUAAAGAACUUGCCUCACAGUUAGGGACAACAUUUGGAAACGAAUGCUAAUACCUGAUAUUAUGAUUUUAGGGCAUCCUAGAAUUAUGAAAGCUAUAUGCGCUGCGAGAGAGCUUUGCGUCCCAUUAGCUAGUUGGAGAGGUAACGGCUCACCAAGGCGAUGAUGGGUAGCCGGCCUGAGAGGGUGAACGGCCACAAGGGGACUGAGACACGGCCCUUACUCCUACGGGAGGCAGCAGUGGGGAAUAUUGGACAAUGGACCAAGAGUCUGAUCCAGCAAUUCUGUGUGCACGAUGAAGUUUUUCGGAAUGUAAAGUGCUUUCAGUUGGGAAGAAAAAAAUGACGGUACCAACAGAAGAAGUGACGGCUAAAUACGUG
rnacentral:rRNA from 1 species